UAUUAUGUGAGGUUUUGAUAGUCUGCCUAAAUCAACUUUUUUUCCCCUUUCAAGUUGUAAGUUCUGAAAAGGAAUAAGAAAAAUUUUGCAGCAGCAAGUCUUAUUUUUUCUAAUUUCAAUAGCUACAUGUUAUUGGCCUCACUAACUAUUAUUCUUGAUUAAUUACUCUGUAUACUAAAUUGGAUGGUUUUCUACAUGAUGAACAAGUUCUACAGGGUCCAAGUAUUGUAGCGAUCAUACUCAGAAUGCAUUGUUAAGGUGUUCAAAAAUUAUCGUGUCAGAUCAUAUGAAUGGAUUGUUGGUGUUCUGUGGUAAUACGAAGUUCUACUUUAAAGAUUACAGACUAGCUUCAUGUUACAUAUGAAUAACAAGAUUCAAUCGGACAUAGAAGAUGGUCUCCAUGUUCUAAGGUUCUUUGUCAAAAUCUUAGCUUGUGACAACAAAGCAGGGAGAACUUUUGAUGGAUGGGUUUUUCUUUGCAUCAACUAUUCAAGAUUUAUUUAGUUUUUGAGUUCUUCUCUAUUUUACCGGAACUACAGUGAUUACAAAAUUCCUUUUUUAUAUGAUGUAAUGAUAAUUAAAA